rnacentral:lncRNA from 1 species
AUCACAUGAUGACCUAAAAUUUAUGGUAAAUUAGAAGAAGGAAGUUAAAACAUGGCACAAGCUGCGAAAGAAACAUGCCUUUGUUCAAGGGCAUCUGCAGAAUAUUUCUGUAAAGAAUGUGAACAAUAUUUUUGUGACACUUGUCGAAUAUCACACAAGAGAGCAAAAGUCAGUAAAAAUCAUCAUUUAGUGGAGACACUCGGAGCAACAGGUAAACAUUGUGCAGUGUAUCUACAGUAUACUGACAAAUGUGCUAAUCUUCAUUGCAGUCAGGUAUUUUUUUAUGAUUCGAAGACGCGAGUCACAUAAGAGCUAGUACGAGGUUUUCCUGAAUUAAGUUGUAGGCCAAGAUUUUUUUUAAAUAACUUACGGCUAUACUUUGAAGUUCAACAACAAUAUAGAGAGCUGCAAAAUUGUACCACUGGUAAGGUAAAAAAUAUUUUAGAAAACCGAACAUUCCUAUGAUUUGGUGUGUAACCAUUAUACUUAAUUUUCAGGUGCCGUAGUAAAGAUGUUUAAAAAUAAAAUGCUUUCAAUUUUCUUUUGUCGCAAAAUCAAGUGUUCGUUCCAAUAUGUGAGCUCGGGUACAAAACACUUUUAUAACUAUCUGUGAUAUUUAUUCCAAGUUGUAUUAAUAUUUUGAUCUAAAAUAUGACACUAGUACAACUCCGACACAUUUCAGAAAGAUUCGAUCAACAUCAUGAAUCAUCCAAGGAUGACAUCAUCAACAUAUCGGGACGUUAAUUUCAAAUAAAAUUGAGAAUGGAAAUGGUGAAUGUGUCAAAGAUACAACAACCCGACCAUAGAAGAACAGACAACAGCAGAAGGUCACCAACAGGUCUUCAAUGCAGCGAAAAAUUCCUGCACCGGGAGGCGUCUUUCAGCUGGCCCCUAAACAAAUAUAUACCAGUUCAGUGAUAAUGAACGCCAUACUAAACUCCAAAUAGUACACAAGAAACUUAAAUUAAAAAUAAUACAAGACUAACAAAGGCCAGCGGCUCCUGACUUGGGACAGGCGCAAAAAUGCGGCGGGGUAAAACAUGUUUCUGAGAUCUCAAUCCUCCCCCUAUACCUCUAGCCAAUGUAGAAAAGUAAAAGCAUAACAAUACGCACAUUAAAAUUCAGUGCAAGAGAAGUCCGAGUCUGAUGUCAGAAGAUGUAACCAAAAAAUUCACACAAAAUGACAAUAAUACAUAAAUAACAACAGACUACUACCAGUUAACUGACAUGCCAGCUCCAGACUUCAAUUAAACUGAUUGAAAGAUUAUGUCUUCAUCAUAUAAAUAUCAGGCACAAUCCUUCCCGUUAGGGGUUUAGUAUCAUACCAUCAUAACAUAUAUGAGAAGAACAUAACCCGUGUCAUGCCAACAACUGGUUUUUAAAUGAAUGUGUUUAGUUCCGAUGCAAAGACCCUAUAAGUGAAUCAAUAUUAACGCCAAAAUAUGCAAUCUUUAAUGACCUGACAACAGUAUCGUAACUAUAUCCCUUCUUAAUAAGUCUAUUUAAAGGUUUUAUUAGCUUCUGAACUCAUUUUACGGAACAAUCGUCUUCGCUAAUUGACAUAAUUAUAACUGAUAAUUCCGAUUUUGUACCGUAUUGUGGAGUCGGGCCACCACUUUUAGACCAAAUAAGAUAUCACUGUCCAGUUAUGGGGUUUAUUAAUGCACAAAAACCUGCUUGUUUGUCUUUUAAAAGAAAAAUAUGGUUAUAUAAGCAAGGUGAUUUUGAUGAAUAUAGACGCAUAUUGACCAAAACCAACUGGGAUAGAAUAUUUGCUCUAAAUGAUGUUGAUAAAAUUAAUUCAGAAAUUUCAAAUCGUAUCCUUGAUGCAGCUGAAAUUUCCAUACCCAAUAGAAUCGUAACUAUUCGGAAAUCUGACCCUGCUUGGUUAAAUAACGAUUUAAGAAAACUCAUAAGAAAGAAAAACCGUUUACACUCGAAAGCUAAGCGGUUUAACCGACCCGCCGAUUGGAAUAAAUUUAGACAAAAUAGAAAUAAAGUGACCACUUCAAUAAGACAAGCUCGCGAACAAUAUCAAAAUAAUCUUAUACAAAAAUUGUCAAAUAGUAACUAUCGCAAGAACUUGGUGGAAAACUUGUAACCAAAUUUUCUGGUAUCAAACCUACUCACUCGGGUAUUCCUCCCCUGCUUAAGAAUGAUAACUUGAUUUUUAAUGAUAUCGAUAAAGCGAAUGAAUUUAAUAACUUUUUUGCCAUGCAGACAAACAUAGAUGAUACCGAAGCUGUUAUUCCUGACUUAACCGUUCCAGACUAUACACUAAGUGACAUUACACUUAAAGAUAGUGAGGUCGAAGAUGUUUUAAAGAUUUUAAAUCCAAAUAAGGCCUCAGGUCCAGACUUGAUAAGUCCAAUUUUAUUAAAAGAGGCUGUAUCACAGCUAAAAUUCCACUUUGUGUAAACUAUUUAAUUUAUAUCUUUAUCUAAAGCUAUAUUUCCGGCAGAUUGGAAAAAAGCAAAUGUAACUCCUGUUUUUAAGAGUAACAAUUGUAAUGAGGUAAAAAAUUACAGACCAAUCUCGCUUGUUAAGUAUUAUCAAAGUGCAUGGAGCGAUGUGUCUAUAAACAUGUACACAACUUUCUUAAUUGAAAAUAGGAUAAUCACCCCUAAUCAAUCGGGUUUUACAAAAGGCGAUUCUGCCAUAAAUCAACUUAUUGAUAUUUCUAACUACUUUGGUAGAGCUUUAGAUAACGGAAAAGAGAUUAGGGUGUUUUUUUGUGACAUCAGCAAAGCUUUUGAUCGGGUUUGGCAUAAAGGGCUAUUAUCAAAACUUAAACAAUAUGGAAUUUCUGGAAAUUUACUUAAUUGGUUUUGUGAUUAUCUAUCUGAGAGGAGUCAACGGGUGGUCUUAAAUGGAAGCAAUUCAACAUGGAGACAGAUAAAUGCAGGUGUCCCACAGGCUCAAUUUUAGGUCCGCUACUUUUUCUUAUCUUUAUUAAUGAUAUAGUAUCUGAUAUUAAAGCUACUAUCAAAUUAUUUGCAGACGACACUAGUAUUUAUUUGACAGUAGACACCCCUGAAAAUACUGCUGAAAUUCUUAAUGGAGAUCUGAAAAAAAUUCAUAUGUGGUCUUCUAAGUGGCUUGUAAACUUUAACUCACAAAAAAACAGAAACCAUGAUUAUUUCAAGAAAAUCAAUAAAACCUAGUCAUCCGAUCUUAAAAAUGAAUGACACUGAUCUUCAAGAAGUUUCUACUCAUAAACAUUUAGGUAUUAUUUUUUCAAAUAAUGGAUUAUGGAAUAUUCACAUUGAAUAUAUAGUUAAACGUGCAUACAAUAGAAUAAAUAUCCUUAGGAAGAUGCGUUUUGUACUGAAUAGGUUCACUUUAGAAAAAAUGUAUUUUUCAUACAUUCGACCAAUAUUAGAGUACGGGGAUGUCAUUUGGGAUAAUCAAACACAAUACUUGAUAAAUAAAGUGGAAAAUGUUCAAAUUGAAGCUAUGAGAAUUGUAACAGGUGGGAAUAAAUUAACUUCGAUACAGAUGCUUUAUAAGGAAACGGGUUGGGAAACACUUUCAGAAAGAAGGGAAAAACACAAGCUCACUAUGUUUUAUAAAAUGGUGAAUAAGGAAACUCCAUAUUAUUUACAAAACUUGGUACCAAAUCAAAUAGUAAAUUUACAUAACCAUUUCACUCGUCAGACUCAAAAUACUUCGGAAAUUCGUACAAGAACCAAUCUAUACUCCGAUUAUUUCCUUCCUUCGUCUAUUAAAUUGUGGAAUAAGUUACCAGACCAAACGAGAAAUUCUACGUCUUUAAGCAUUUUUAAAAGUCGUAUAAAAAACCCAAAUAAUAAAUGCCCAAAUGUUUACUACACUGGAACAAGAAUGGGUCAAGUAUUACAUGCCAGAUUAAGGAUGAAUAGUAGUUCUCUAAAUGAACAUUUGUUCAAGCGAAAUCUAGUAGAUUCUUCAAACUGCUCGUGUGGUUUGAUCGAGCCUACAGCUCAUUUCUUAUUGCAUUGUAAAAAAUAUGACGAAUUGCGUAAUGACAUUAUUUUCUCAAUUAAUUAUCCAGUCACACUAAACACGAAUUUACUUUUAUUUGGAUCACAAGCUCUAAAUUUAGACCAAAAUAAAGAUAUUUUUGGAAAAGUACAAAAAUUCCUACUAAAGUGCAAGAGAUUUACAAGUUAAUUUGUUAUUCACUAUUCUCACUAAGUUGCAUUUCAUCUAAACAUGUGUGUAGUAUUUCGGUGUAGUUUUCUUUUUUCUUUUUUUUACUUUUUUUUCUUCUUUUGUUGUAUUUAUUUUCAUUAUUUUAAAAUGAUUUUUUUUCUCCUUUCUUUUUUGUUAUAUAGUUACUUAGUUUAUACUUGUUCCAUAUCAUAGUAACAGUGCAUGCUAUAUUUAUGUAAUAGUUAACUUGAGUUGGUAUUUCAAGGAAACGGAUUAAUAUAAGCUAUAUUGCUUGUUUCCGAAUCCUAUUAUUAUUGUGUAUUUUGUAUGAUGAUAUAUUUGUAUUGAUGAUGAAUAAAUAUGUUUAAACAAUUAGCUUCUGAGGUGAAUACUGAUAUUUUUGUGCUUUAUAAAGAAUAUUUCCAUAAAAAAUUGGAUGUGAAAUACCUGAACGUAUAAGAAGUCUGCAUGUUGAGUUAUAUUUACGAAUGAUGGUCUUAUACCGAUGAUAAAAUUUAGUAAAUGCCUUUGUUUUUUUAAUUCAAAACAACUUGAUUAUUUAUUUUUAUUUUGUAGAAAAUGAAUUGCAGUCGG